rnacentral:rRNA from 1 species
UACGUAGGGACCAAGCGUUGUUCGGAUUUACUGGGCGUAAAGGGCGCGUAGGCGGCGCUGUAAGUCAGUUGUGAAAUCUCCGGGCUUAACUCGGAACGGUCAAGUGAUACUGCAGUGCUAGAGUGCGGAAGGGGCAAUCGGAAUUCUUGGUGUAGCGGUGAAAUGCGUAGAUAUCAAGAGGAACACCUGAGGUGAAGACGGGUUGCUGGGCCGACACUGACGCUGACAGCGCGAAAGCCAGGGGAGCAAACGGG